GGCGAACGGGUGAGUAACACGUGGGUGAUCUGCCCUGCACUUCGGGAUAAGCCUGGGAAACUGGGUCUAAUACCGGAUAGGACGAUGGUUUGGAUGCCAUUGUGGAAAGUUUUCGGUGUGGGAUGAGCUCGCGGCCUAUCAGCUUGUUGGUGGGGUAAUGGCCUACCAAGGCGUCGACGGGUAGCCGGCCUGAGAGGGUGUACGGCCACAUUGGGACUGAGAUACGGCCCAG
rnacentral:rRNA from 1 species